CACCCAUAAGCUAGCCCAACCACCCAAAAUCAACAAACCCCAUUAAUAAACCCUAAUAACCCUCCCCCUCCAAACUAAAACAUUUUACCCCCUUAGUAUGGGCGACAGAAAAGGACACAGGAGCAAUAGACACAGUACCGCAAGGGAAAGCUGAAAGAGAUAUGAAAUAAAUCAGUAAAGUAAUAAAAAGCAGAGAUUAUAUCUCGUACCUUUUGCAUCAUGAAUUAGCUAGUACAAGCAAGCAAGGAGAACCAUAGCUUGUCCCCCCGAAACUAGGUGAGCUACUUCAGGGCCGCCUAAUUAGGGCAAACCCGUCUCUGUGGCAAAAGAGUGGGACGACCCCCGAGUAGAAGUGACAAACUUACCGAACCUAGUUAUAGCUGGUUGCCUGGAAAAUGGAUAUUAGUUCAGCCCUUUAUUUCUUCAUUCAUUAACAACAAAUUACACUAUGAUUAAAAGAUAACUAAAGAGGUUAGUCAAAGGGGGUACAGCCCCUUUGAAGAAAGACACAACUUUCCUAGGAGGAUAAAGAUUAUAAUAAUCAAGGGGUAGCAUCUCAGUGGGCUUAAAAGCAGCCACCUGCUCAGAAAGCGUUAAAGCUCAAGCACAACCAAACCCAAUUAUACCUAUCAAAUACUCUAAAACCCCUAACACAUACCAGGCCUCUCUACUUGUAGUAGAGGUGAUUAUGCUAGUAUGAGUAAUAAGAAAGCCUGAGGGCUUUCUCCUAGCACAAGUGUAACUCAGAUUGGACAACCCACUGAAAAUUAACGGACCCAAAUAAAGAGGGGAAUGGCCAAUAAAACUGGAAAACCACCCAAAUUAAACCGUUGACCCCACACUGGAGUGCCCAAAGGAAAGACUAAAAGGAAGAGAAGGAACUCGGCAAACUACUAAGCCUCGCCUGUUUACCAAAAACAUCGCCUCUUGCAAACACAUCUAGAAUAAGAGGUCCCGCCUGCCCAGUGACACUAAGUUUAACGGCCGCGGUAUUUUGACCGUGCAAAGGUAGCGCAAUCACUUGUCUUUUAAAUGGAGACCUGUAUGAAAGGCACGACGAGGGCUUAACUGUCUCCUCCCCCCAGUCAAUGAAAUUGAUCCCCCCGUGCAGAAGCGGGGAUUAAAACAUAAGACGAGAAGACCCUGUGGAGCUUAAGACACCAGUGCAGACCAUGUCAACAACCUUACCACAGGAUGGAACUGAAGGGCACCUGCUACAAUGUCUUAGGUUGGGGCGACCAUGGAGGAAGCUCAUCCCCCAUGCGGAUAAAGAGCACCAGAGAGCACACCCCUCUCCAAAAUAUAACUCUUACAAACCAGGGCUCCUGCCCUAGUUAACGGAAUAUUCGACCGAAACUGAUCCGGGAAUACCGAUCAACGAACCAAGUUACCCCAGGGAUAACAGCGCUAUCCCCUUCCAGAGCCCAUAUCGCCAAGGGGGUUUACGACCUCGAUGUUGGAUCAGGACAUCCUAAUGGUGUAGCCGCUAUUAAGGGUUCGUUUGUUCAACGAUUAAAGUCCUACGUGAUCUGAGUUCAGACCGGAGCAAUCCAGGUCAGUUUCUAUCUAUGAAGACGUUUUUUUCUAGUACGAAAGGACCGAAAAAGGAGGGCCCAUGUUUCUAAAUACGCCCUACCCCUACCUGAUGACAACAACUAAAGCAAGUAAUGGGACGCAAGCCCCCUACUUAGAUAAAAGU
rnacentral:rRNA from 1 species